rnacentral:rRNA from 1 species
AACGAACGCUGGCGGCAUGCCUAACACAUGCAAGUCGAACGAGACCUUCGGGUCUAGUGGCGCACGGGUGCGUAACGCGUGGGAACCUGCCCUUAGGUUCGGAAUAACUCCCCGAAAGGGGUGCUAAUACCGGAUAAUGUCUUCGGACCAAAGAUUUAUCGCCUUUGGAUGGGCCCGCGUUGGAUUAGCUAGUUGGUAGGGUAAAAGCCUACCAAGGCGACGAUCCAUAGCUGGUCUGAGAGGAUGAUCAGCCACACUGGGACGGAGACACGGCCCAGACUCCUACGGGAGGCAGCAGUGGGGAAUAUUGGACUAUGGGCGAAAGCCUGAUCCAGCAAUGCCGCGUGAGUGAUGAAGGCCUUAGGGUUGUAAAGCUCUUUUACCCGGGAUGAUAAUGACAGUACCGGGAGAAUAAGCACCGGCUAACUCCGUG